AUGUACCCGCACAGCCUAAGCGGCGAAUACCGGAUACUGCUCGCACCCCAUGAUCCAGAUGACUCUUACCAGCUCUACACACUAGGCUCCAGCCAGCCGCCAAGGCAAAUAGACAUAGAUGGCCCUUCAUUCGGGGAGAUGCUCGCUCCGCACGGCACCGACCAGUUUGUGAUGGAUGAAAUUUAUGGUGGUGUCCUGUUUGAGGUGGAUGCAAUGCUCGGCAUGUUCAGUCUUAAUGCUGAAUUUACCAGCAUUGGUAUCUGGGCUAUGCACAACUACGAAAGCAGGGUCUGGGCAUUCAAAUACCGGGUCGAAUUGCCACUUGCGGAGCUCACCGUGCAGUUUGGAGAUUUUAAACCAUAUUGUUGCAGGGUGCCCUCUUCUUGGGAUGGUGAUGUGAGCAUGCUGCUCCAGUUUGGUGACUGGCUACUUCAGCUUGACAUGGAUGGCAAGGUGGUUGCUAGUUUACGCCGUCACAAAGGCCUCUUGCCAACUCAACAUCGGCGCAAGCAAACUCUUGUUCAGCAUUCCUUCUUUACGGCACUAGAGGGUUAUGUUGUCAAUGCUUCACCUUUCAUGUAA
rnacentral:rRNA from 1 species